CAAAAGUCUGUUUGGCCUCCCUCACUACAGUGCUCCUUCUUCAACCUCUAGACAGAGCCGACUGUCUACAGCCCAUGCACAGUUGCCGCCGCCUGCUCCUACCAAAUCCGACCUCGCCGUUGCUCCUCUUUCCAAAUUAGUUGCGGGAAUAGAAUCCCCUCAAUCUCCUCUACAAUUUCCCCAAGAAAUUCCUAAAAGUUUCUAUGGAAAUCAUUUCCAAUUUCGCGGAUCAACCUUUCCUUUUUCCGGCGGGAAUCCUAAAUUUCCCGAGUUUUUCCCGUCGAUUUGGGCCCGGACCCGAGCUCCCGUGCCUAUAUAAAGGACCCCUAGUCUUCCUCUACCCAUCCCCUCAAGUCCCGUCUUCCGCCGUCGCCGGAAACGCCCUCCCUGCGCUCCCCUUCUCUCCACCUCCGGCCGCCGGUCCAGCCGCCGUGCGCCGUCGCCUCGGCCGUCGCAGGUCAGCGUCGCCACCUCUCUCGGCUCCGCAAGGUCAAGAGGAAGCCCGGCAGCCAUCUCCCCAAAGCUGAAGACCACAGGAAGCCCUUCGUCGCCGUUAAGAACAAGCUCGCCGCGGCGUUUUGAUCUCCGGCGAGGCCCUGCUACUCCUUCCGUCGUCGCCAAGCUUCGCCGCCGCCUCCUUUGGGUUCGCAGCUGCGAGGUGAAGGCCUUCCACCCCUCCGUUGCCGCCGCUCGUCGCCGGAAAGCCAUCAUCAUCGUGGACAGUACCUCGUCGCCCUUCGGAGCUCGUCGCCGGCCAUCUCCUUCGCUGUCCGUCGUCGCGUAAGUGUUGCGUCGUCGUCUCCGUGUGUUGCCGCCGGGUCACCGUCGUCGUCUCUCCCUCUCCGAUCGCUUUGGUUCGCUUGUCCAUUUUCGUCGUUUCGAAGGUUCGGGAGUGUGUCGGAAGUGUUCAAGAAGACU